rnacentral:rRNA from 1 species
GACGAACGCUGGCGGCGUGCUUAACACAUGCAAGUCGAACGGAAAGGCCCUGCUUUUGUGGGGUGCUCGAGUGGCGAACGGGUGAGUAACUCGUGAGUAACCUGCCCUUGACUUUGGGAUAACUUCAGGAAACUGGGGCUAAUACCGGAUAGGAGCUCCUGCUGCAUGGUGGGGGUUGGAAAGUUUCGGCGGUUGGGGAUGGACUCGCGGCUUAUCAGCUUGUUGGUGGGGUAGUGGCUUACCAAGGCUUUGACGGGUAGCCGGCCUGAGAGGGUGACCGGCCACAUUGGGACUGAGAUACGGCCCAGACUCCUACGGGAGGCAGCAGUGGGGAAUAUUGCACAAUGGGCGGAAGCCUGAUGCAGCAACGCCGCGUGCGGGAUGACGGCCUUCGGGUUGUAAACCGCUUUCGCCUGUGACGAAGCGUGAGUGACGGUAAUGGGUAAAGAAGCACCGGCUAACUACGUG